AAAGGGUGCGUAGGCGGCCUGUUAAGUCAGGGGUGAAAGACGGUAGCUCAACUAUCGCAGUGCCCUUGAUACUGAUGGGCUUGAAUGAACUAGAGGUAGGCGGAAUGAGACAAGUAGCGGUGAAAUGCAUAGAUAUGUCUCAGAACACCGAUUGCGAAGGCAGCUUACUAUGGUCUUAUUGACGCUGAGGCACGAAAGCGUGGGGAUCAAACAGGAUUAGAUACCCCAGU
rnacentral:rRNA from 1 species